GGUUUAAUUGCAACAUUUUUAUAAUUUACACAAUUCAAUCAUAUUUCAUGGGUUUAACAACAACAUUUCCACCAUUCCCAAAAUUUAAUCAAAUUUCAAGGGUUUAACAGCAAGAUUUUCAUCAUUCCCACAAUUCAAUCGAAUUUAAUGGGUUUAACAACAACAUUUUCAUCAUUCCUAAACUUUUAUCAAAUUUCAUGGGUUUAACAACAACAUUUUCAUCAUUC
rnacentral:lncRNA from 1 species